rnacentral:lncRNA from 1 species
CACAGUUCUUGCCCUCCAGGGGAAAAUCAAGUAGGUGAGAUGACUCACAUGCAAAUAACUACCAAAGUGGAAGUGAGGAAGCAACCCGAUAUAGCCACAAAGUGAGAUGAGGCUUCAGAGGACCUAGAUACAGCCCACUGGCAAGAUCUGAGAAGGUUUCAUGAAAGAGGUAACAAUUGGGCUGGGCACUGAAGGAUCAGUAGGAACUAGACACCAUGUUUUGAAGCUCCCUUUUAAAAGUCCAGGCCAAUUAACUGGACUGAGAUGCGCUGGC